CUGGCGGCGUGCCUAAUACAUGCAAGUCGAGCGAACAGAUAAGGAGCUUGCUCCUUUGACGUUAGCGGCGGACGGGUGAGUAACACGUGGAUAACCUACCUAUAAGACUGGGAUAACUUCGGGAAACCGGAGCUAAUACCGGAUAAGAUUUUGAACCGCAUGGUUCAAUAGUGAAAGACGGCCUUGCUGUCACUUAUAGAUGGAUCCGCGCCGUAUUAGCCAGUUGGUAAGGUAACGGCUUACCAAGGCAACGAUACGUAGCCGACCUGAGAGGGUGAUCGGCCACACUGGAACUGAGACACGGUCCAGACUCCUACGGGAGGCAGCAGUAGGGAAUCUUCCGCAAUGGGCGAAAGCCUGACGGAGCAACGCCGCGUGAGUGAUGAAGGUCUUCGGAUCGUAAAACUCUGUUAUCAGGGAAGAACAAACGUGUAAGUAACUGUGCACGUCUUGACGGUACCUGAUCAGAAAGCCACGGCUAACUACGUGCCAGCAGCCGCGGUAAUACGUAGGUGGCAAGCGUUAUCCGGAAUUAUUGGGCGUAAAGCGCGCGUAGGCGGUUUUUUAAGUCUGAUGUGAAAGCCCACGGCUCAACCGUGGAGGGUCAUUGGAAACUGGAAAACUUGAGUGCAGAAGAGGAAAGUGGAAUUCCAUGUGUAGCGGUGAAAUGCGCAGAGAUAUGGAGGAACACCAGUGGCGAAGGCGACUUUCUGGUCUGUAACUGACGCUGAUGUGCGAAAGCGUGGGGAUCAAACAGGAUUAGAUACCCUGGUAGUCCACGCCGUAAACGAUGAGUGCUAAGUGUUAGGGGGUUUCCGCCCCUUAGUGCUGCAGCUAACGCAUUAAGCACUCCGCCUGGGGAGUACGACCGCAAGGUUGAAACUCAAAUGAAUUGACGG
rnacentral:rRNA from 1 species